CUGGGAAAUGACAGAUUAUUCCGGUGAACUCCCGCACGCUAGCCUGCUGUUACCCACUACAAAAGCAAGCCAACUGGGAACCUUUCAGUAGGUGGCAGCAGAAAUGCAUUAUCAACGCAGAGGAUGCCUUUCGGGACACCCCUUCUUGGCAAAUCACCCCUUUAGGCACAUUGCUUCGGGUCAGAUACUGUGCCCCAACCAGACUUACGCCAGCAGAGUCAGGCCAAACGCAGAGAACCUGGGUUGGGAAACUCACUCAGAUUCUGAAAAUCCCCACGUUUUGCUGUGGCGAAAGCGUUCCUCACCAAACCGCCUCUUGCAAAACGUGGCAAGUUCCCUAAUUUGGUGCUUUGGUUUCUAUGGCCCUGCAGAGCCGGCACGGCUCACCAGAACACCUCCCAGCAAUAGGGCUUUUGCAAAAUCACACCACACCUUCACCUCGUGCAGUCCCGGCCAAACAAGGCCACUUUAAAAGAAAAAUGACUUCCAUAAAUUCCAAAGACUCAACAAAUCAGCAACAAGAAGAUGAUGUAAGCCCCCAACUAAGCAGCUUUCCUCCCUACUUCAGACACGCUCGAGCUCGGCUGCCCCGCAGCCCGGGCAGGAGCAGAGCUACAGGGAGGUGAGAGGAGCGGGCGGCGGCGGGGCCGGAAGCGUGACGGCCUCCCCGCAUACCUGGCCGGCAAGGUGUGGCUUUGCAAAGCUGACUCAGGGCUGGGUCAGGUCUCCUACACGCAGAAGCACGCUUUCCCAAUCAUCGUUUCCUGUUCUCCCAGGCGAGAUGGAGCAGCCAGGGGCAGGAUGGAGGUUUCUCGGGCACAGGCAGUCCCCCUCCCCAGAGCUGCUGGGCGUAGAGGACAGCGAGGAGGGACGGCAGGGGGCUGGUGACUAAGGCGAGGACAGCGGCACUGGUUUUGUGACUAACCAUUACUCAUGCAAGGAGGAAUUUGGAGAGGGACCCGCAUCCAGCUCGGCUCGUUGCUUUGGAUACUUCUGCAGCCGUAAGCACAAAGGAGAGCUUUGACAAUGAAUCAGGCCCUGGGUUAAAAUGACAAAGACAGACUUAUCUACCAACUUUUGUGUUAAAAUGAUUUCAGUGUAAUCAUAAAAGCAGCUUAGUGCUAAGCAGAGGAAACAAGCAACGUUUUCAGCCCCAGAUGACUAACUGUAGGCUCCUGGAUGGACAAAACCGUUCAGAGGCAGCAGCAGAAGUGGGUUUUUAUUAACGCAUGAUGGAUUUCACUUUCCCCUGGACUACAAAGGAAUGAGAGCAUACUGGCAAAGUUUGCUUGAGAAGCUUUUUCCUUUUUUUUCUUUUUUUUU